CCAUACAGACAUACACCUCACACUAACAGGUCAUCAUGCUGAAGGAGUGGAUAGUCCUACUGACUCUGGGCUAUUGCCAAGGGAAGAAACCUGUUUGUAGCCUGCACACAGACCAACGAUAUGGCAGAAACAUGAGUAGAAUCUGGCUCAAUGGGUCACAUACCUCUCCAUUGAAGCAUAAGGCUGACAUCGAUGAGCGUGUACUUACCUCAAACAGCACAAGAUAUUUGACACAAAUAUGUUUAUCAGUAUUAUCAUUGCGACAUAAUGGAAUAUACAUGAUUGAAGCUGGCUCUAUCAAUAAAAGUCCUUUCAGGGAAUGCAUUGAAGUGCUUUGAUAUAUCUGAAAACUUCCUUGUUGGGGAUGGUGGCCUUUUAUUAAUUUUGAUGGUAUUUUCACGUUUGAAGUAUCUUGAUGUCAGCUAUCAGCGACAGGUAUAUGACGUACCAAGCCAAACCAUGUUAGCAUCUCCAAUAGCGGUAGCACUACCACAAAAUAUUGUAUAUUUUGAUGUAACAGCGUUACUUUGCUAGUGCUGUAGACGUUGAUUUUGAUGUAACUUUUUACAAUACGGACAACUUGAAGACCUUUCUAUUUGGUUAUAACAAAGCAUCUGUCAAACGCGUAUAUGGUUUGGAACAUGUGUAUAACGUUGAUGUUUCAGGGAACGACUUUGGUGCCAUAAGCUAUGACUUUUUCCAAGCUUUCUCGAAUGUUAAAAAGCUUUCUAUUAGAAACUGCAACUUACAAAAUGCUAACUACACAUUUACAAAGACUGAUAUGUUUAAGGAACUGGAAGAAAUCCAGAAUUUAGACGUGUCAUCAAAUGGC